UACAGAGGUCUCAAGCGUUGUUCGGAUUCAUUGGGCGUAAAGGGCGCGUAGGCGGCCUGCUAAGUCGGACGUGAAAUCCCCCGGCUCAACCGGGGAACUGCGUCCGAUACUGGUGGGCUCGAAUCCGGGAGAGGGAUGUGGAAUUCCAGGUGUAGCGGUGAAAUGCGUAGAUAUCUGGAGGAACACCGGUGGCGAAGGCGGCAUCCUGGACCGGUAUUGACGCUGAGGCGCGAAAGCCAGGGGAGCAAACGGG
rnacentral:rRNA from 1 species